AUUGAACGCUGGCGGCAGGCCUAACACAUGCAAGUCGAGCGGAUGAGAAGAGCUUGCUCUUCGAGUUAGCGGCGGACGGGUGAGUAAUGCCUAGGAAUCUGCCUGGUAGUGGGGGACAACGUUUCGAAAGGAACGCUAAUACCGCAUACGUCCUACGGGAGAAAGCAGGGGACCUUCGGGCCUUGCGCUAUCAGAUGAGCCUAGGUCGGAUUAGCUAGUUGGUGAGGUAAUGGCUCACCAAGGCGACGAUCCGUAACUGGUCUGAGAGGAUGAUCAGUCACACUGGAACUGAGACACGGGCCAGACUCCUACGGGAGGCAGCAGUGGGGAAUAUUGGACAAUGGGCGAAAGCCUGAUCCAGCCAUGCCGCGUGUGUGAAGAAGGUCUUCGGAUUGUAAAGCACUUUAAGUUGGGAGGAAGGGCAGUAAGCGAAUACCUUGCUGUUUUGACGUUACCGACAGAAUAAGCACCGGCUAACUCUGUGCCAGCCGCCGCGGUAAUAC
rnacentral:rRNA from 1 species